rnacentral:rRNA from 1 species
UUGAACGCUGGCGGCAUGCCUUACACAUGCAAGUCGAACGGCAGCACGGGUGCUUGCACCUGGUGGCGAGUGGCGAACGGGUGAGUAAUACAUCGGAACAUGUCCUGUAGUGGGGGAUAGCCCGGCGAAAGCCGGAUUAAUACCGCAUACGAUCUACGGAUGAAAGCGGGGGACCUUCGGGCCUCGCGCUAUAGGGUUGGCCGAUGGCUGAUUAGCUAGUUGGUGGGGUAAAGGCCUACCAAGGCGACGAUCAGUAGCUGGUCUGAGAGGACGACCAGCCACACUGGGACUGAGACACGGCCCAGACUCCUACGGGAGGCAGCAGUGGGGAAUUUUGGACAAUGGGCGAAAGCCUGAUCCAGCAAUGCCGCGUGUGUGAAGAAGGCCUUCGGGUUGUAAAGCACUUUUGUCCGGAAAGAAAUCCUUGGCUCUAAUACAGUCGGGGGAUGACGGUACCGGAAGAAUAAGCACCGGCUAACUACGUGCCAGCAGCCGCGGUAAUACGUAGGGUGCGAGCGUUAAUCGGAAUUACUGGGCGUAAAGCGUGCGCAGGCGGUUUGCUAAGACCGAUGUGAAAUCCCCGGGCUCAACCUGGGAACUGCAUUGGUGACUGGCAGGCUAGAGUAUGGCAGAGGGGGGGUAGAAUUCCACGUGUAGCAGUGAAAUGCGUAGAGAUGUGGAGGAAUACCGAUGGCGAAGGCAGCCCCCUGGGCCAAUACUGACGCUCAUGCACGAAAGCGUGGGGAGCAAACAGGAUUAGAUACCCUGGUAGUCCACGCCCUAAACGAUGUCAACUAGUUGUUGGGGAUUCAUUUCCUUAGUAACGUAGCUAACGCGUGAAGUUGACCGCCUGGGGAGUACGGUCGCAAGAUUAAAACUCAAAGGAAUUGACGGGGACCCGCACAAGCGGUGGAUGAUGUGGAUUAAUUCGAUGCAACGCGAAAAACCUUACCUACCCUUGACAUGGUCGGAAUCCCGCUGAGAGGUGGGAGUGCUCGAAAGAGAACCGGCGCACAGGUGCUGCAUGGCUGUCGUCCGCUCGUGUCGUGAGAUGUUGGGUUAAGUCCCGCAACGAGCGCAACCCUUGUCCUUAGUUGCUACGCAAGAGCACUCUAAGGAGACUGCCGGUGACAAACCGGAGGAAGGUGGGGAUGACGUCAAGUCCUCAUGGCCCUUAUGGGUAGGGCUUCACACGUCAUACAAUGGUCGGAACAGAGGGUUGCCAACCCGCGAGGGGGAGCUAAUCCCAGAAAACCGAUCGUAGUCCGGAUUGCACUCUGCAACUCGAGUGCAUGAAGCUGGAAUCGCUAGUAAUCGCGGAUCAGCAUGCCGCGGUGAAUACGUUCCCGGGUCUUGUACACACCGCCC